GGAUUAGAUACCCUGGUAGUCCACGCCGUAAACGAUGAUCACUCGCUGUUUGCGAUACACAGUAAGCGGCUGAGCGAAAGCAUUAAGUGAUCCACCUGGGGAGUACGAUCGCAAGGUUGAAACUCAAAGGAAUUGACGGGGGCCCGCACAAGCGGAGGAACAUGUGGUUUAAUUCGAUGAUACGCGAGGAACCUUACCUGGGCUUAAAUGUAGAUUGCAUAGAUUGGAAACAGUCUUUCCCUUCGGGGCUAUUUACAAGGUGCUGCAUGGUUGUCGUCAGCUCGUGCCG
rnacentral:rRNA from 1 species